UGGGGAAUUUUUGGACAAUGGGCGAAAGCCUGAUCCAGCAAUGCCGCGUGUGUGAAGAAGGCCUUCGGGUUGUAAAGCACUUUUGUCCGGAAAGAAAUCCUUGGCUCUAAUACAGUCGGGGGGAUGACGGUACCGGAAGAAUAAGCACCGGCUAACUACGUGCCAGCAGCCGCGGUAAUACGUAGGGUGCAAGCGUUAAUCGGAAUUACUGGGCGUAAAGCGUGCGCAGGCGGUUUGCUAAGACCGAUGUGAAAUCCCCGGGCUCAACCUGGGGAACUGCAUUGGUGACUGGCAGGCUAGAGUAUGGCAGAGGGGGGUAGAAUUCCACGUGUAGCAGUGAAAUGCGUAGAGAUGUGGAGGAAUACCGAUGGCGAAGGCAGCCCCCCUGGGGCCAAUACUGACGCUCAUGCACGAAAGCGUGGGGAGCAAACAGGAUUAGAUACCCUGGUAGUCCACGCCCUAAAACGAUGCCAACUAGUUGUUGGGGAUUCAUUUUCCCUUAGUAACGUGCUAACGCGUGAAGUUGACCGCCUGGGGAGUACGGUCGCAAGAUU
rnacentral:rRNA from 1 species